AUGUUACCUCCGCCAAGUUUGCCGGCAGAAGAAGCACAUCCAUUGAGCCGUUCAAUGUCGCCUGCGGUGGCUACACCAGAGGCAUGCAACAUUGUUGAAGGGCAAAGGUACUCUAAGAAGCUGAAUGAUAAACAGGUCACCAACAUACUUAGAGCUUCCUUGGGUUUGUGGAGGACAUGUCUGGUUUCACAAAGUCAGUUUCACUUUCACGAAGACAGUGGAAAUGCAGAAAAAGGAAAGCAUGUGGAUUUAGAAAUUUCAGCAUUGUAG
rnacentral:rRNA from 1 species